AGUGAACGCUGGCGGUAGGCCUAACACAUGCAAGUCGAACGGCAGCACAGUAAGAGCUUGCUCUUACGGGUGGCGAGUGGCGGACGGGUGAGGAAUACAUCGGAAUCUACUUUUUCGUGGGGGAUAACGUAGGGAAACUUACGCUAAUACCGCAUACGACCUACGGGUGAAAGCAGGGGAUCUUCGGACCUUGCGCGAUUGAAUGAGCCGAUGUCGGAUUAGCUAGUUGGCGGGGUAAAGGCCCACCAAGGCGACGAUCCGUAGCUGGUCUGAGAGGAUGAUCAGCCACACUGGAACUGAGACACGGUCCAGACCCCUACGGGAGGCAGCAGUGGGGAAUAUUGGACAAUGGGCGCAAGCCUGAUCCAGCCAUACCGCGUGGGUGAAGAAGGCCUUCGGGUUGUAAGGCCCUUUUGUUGGGAAAGAAAAGCAGCAGGUUAAUACCCCGCUGUUCUGACGGUACCCAAAGAAUAAGCACCGGCUAACUUCGUG
rnacentral:rRNA from 1 species